ACAUCAAUAACCCCAAAAACACAAGCAAAAUAUAAAUAAACCAUUCUUCCCCCCAAGUAUAGGCGAUAGAAAAGGGCCCCCGGAGCAAUAGAAAAAGUACCGCAAGGGAA
rnacentral:rRNA from 1 species